GGAAAAGGUUACAUCCCUGAUUUCUGCUGAAGCAAGGUUGCAGUUCUCAGUUUGAAGGAUUUACCCAGCAGAAAACUUGAGGAAAUAACAGGCUGCCUUCAGCACGAUGUGCUCUGUGACACUCUGGCUUUUCCCUGCCAGCACCUCUUCAAGGAAGGUUACGGCCCUGAGGGCUUGAUAUGAAUGUCCUUUCUUUCAGGAUCUGAACUGUUCAUCCAGCUUGCUUUGUGCUGCAGCAAAUCUGCCUGCAUAUGUCCCAGAGAAACUACUUUACAGUGGUGGAAGCAUCUUUUCCAAUAUGCAGACUAUGUAGAAUAUUUGGUAUCCUUUUAAAUGUGAGUUCUAGUAUUAAAUAGUUGUGAAGACAUUGUGAAGAACUGUACAUCUUGUAAAGAACUCUCUUUCUGUGUUUUUUGUGGUUCAGAAAAGUUGUGUUUCCAUGGCAUUCACAUGCCCAUCUUGCUGAUUGCUUUUGUACUGUCCAGAGGUGCUGCAUCACACUUGGAAAUAAACAGAUCUCAGUGCAGUUGCUGAAUCA
rnacentral:lncRNA from 1 species